AAUUAACCCCUGGUGUAGGGGGAAAACGCGAUUAGUGGCGUGGCAACACUAGUGUACAUGCUUGAAUGCGGCAGCGUGACUGAGUGGUGUUGUGCUUGUGGGACUGUCGUAUUCGACCCUCCUUUCUCGGACACAGGAAGAUUUUCCUAAAACAGGAUCUGAUUGUGGAUAGUUGGGAGAACAAAUUGAUGACACCUGGUCUGUUGUACCUGUUCCUCCCUCGAGUGAUGGGAGAGACGUCACCUUAUCAGUGAUGACGGCACCACCAAGAAAGUGAGUCUUUUGUCUGCCAUUUAGGGAAUCUACAGCUGUGAUAAUUGUUAGAGAACUGCAAUCCUGCUAAGGAAGUCCUUACAUAAACUAAAAAUUAUGUGUAUAGCCAAAUUGUCUUCAUUGGGAUAGUUGUUGGUUGGAUACUGCAGAAAGUCCUGCAUGGCAAAAUCAUGUGUGUAAAUACUUUUAACCUUGGCAUGCAGUGUUGGGUAUAUGACGAUCUCGCCCAAAUGUGGGGGUAGGAAGACACUUUCUUACUCGGUAAGUUACAUGCUCAGUAAACAUACAAUUGCAACUGUUGCUGUUUAUCAGUAUUAAUUAUUUGCCAUCUAUCUUUGUUGCAGAAGCAUCAGACAUAGCUACGAAAUGCCUAGCUGAGUCUUGUACUACUGGUGACAAGAGGAGGAGGAAAACCAUCACAUCCCCCUAUUUCCAAACGUGAAGGCAACAUGCCUGUAAUAUUUGUAGUACAGGAAUUUCAUGCUUGUCAAUAAUUUUGAUUCUAAAACUUGAAAUGGAUUAAUAAUGCUGUUAAAUCUUCAGCAACAAUAAAAUCCAAGGUCAUAUAAAGAAGAGCUGGAGAUGAAGAAAUUACUUGUCAUGUAGAUUGAAGACCACAUAACAGAAAAAUGUGCUUAUCAGCCUACUGGCAAUCCAAGUGAAGGCAAGAUUAUUUAAACCCCAAAGGAGCGUGCUAAUGACCUAAGUUAUACACAAAACUUCACAGCAAAUAAUGACUGGUCUCAACACUUAUGAUAAAAGGGCAUCAUAAUUUCCCAAAUGUGAAGGUAAGGGGUGGAGCAGCAAGAGCUAAUCAUCAUGCAGGGGCUGAAGCAUUUAAGGAGAACUGAAUCAGAAGGUUGUAAAACAAAAAUGGUAAUCAUUGGGAAGUAGCUUUGACAUCACAGCAGUAGUAGGUCAUGAAAUUGUUAGCGGCUUAAGAAUUUUGAAAUACGUAAAGAGCCGAUUAGGCUGAGCUUAUUGAGCUGGAGGAAGGAAGAGACCAAGCAGUUCAGGAAGAGGAAGAAUCGGCAGUACCUGUGCCAAAAACAACCUGUGCCAAAAACAGACUCACAACAAACAGAUUGGCUAAGGCAUUUGCGUGUUUUGUCAGGGGAUAAAAAUCAAAGCAAUCAAAGAGAAUGGCAGAUUCAGGAUGCUAUUGUCUGCUGUAAAAAGAUUUAUAAUGAAAUAAAUGACAGGAUUUGGCCAACACUCCAUAUCCUCAAGAAAAAACCAGACAGAUCCUCAGUGCCUUCUACCAACUCUUCCCCAGUUCCAGCUAUCAACUCUAGCCUUGUAUGAGAUAGAGAUGGAUGAUCCUGCUGCAGUAGUAUCUCCAUCAACCGUCAUCCAGCAGUUAAUUUGACUAAAGUCCAGGAGGAGGAUCCCAAGUAGUUGCACAGGAGACAUUUACCACUUGCAUGAUGAAAUCAUUCAUAUAAUGGCAGAGAAAUACUUGAGCACCACCUCCAUGACCCCACCAGAAUUGAAGCCAUAGCAUCCCUACAGAACACACAGCCUCCUGUUUCUCCUGCCUCAAAAAGCAGUCUUGCUUCUGAAGGGAAGAAGAGGAUUAUAGAUAAUACCCCUCCACAGAGUUCACACAUGAACAGACAGGUUUGAAGACCUCGGCUGUUUAAGCAGAACUGUGUAGCCAUGAACAUACAAAAACCCUGAAUUGGAUACAGAUGUGAUAAUGAGCUGACUAGAGUUUGGGAACCACAAACACAGCUGAGCUAUGCUGCGAUACAGUCCAUACAUGUAAGAACUCUUUAAGAAUAUCAGAGUAGGGCUAUGUGGACUCCAGAACCUAUAAGGAAAGCCAUUCAGACUUGUAAAAUAAGCCAUUCGGACUCGUAAAAUACAGCAGAGAGCAGAAUAUGAUUCUAGAGGAACCCAGAUAUGACACUAAUCACAGCCAUAUUGCAGGAUGUGGCUUUAGUAGGACUUUGUUAGAUUUAAACCUAAAAUGGAGUAAUGGCCACAGUCUCGGACUUCUCAACUACCUUGUUGCAAUGACAACUUCCAAGAGGAUCAGUAUUGUGGACCAUUCUCCUACACACUGAUGCAAGCCCCUCUAGUCAUAGUUAGGCUAACCACUAAACUUAACUCUUGGAAGAAUUGUCUUGAAGAAUUACUCCCUCUCCAUCAAAACACAGCUAUUGUUGGACAUACGAGACAUCCUGAUCAUAUCCAGAGUUAAAAAGUUGCAAAUAGCCAUUGUCAUCAUUGCAGUUAUGAAGAAUAAUCAUGUUCUUUAAGGUUGAUGACAAAUAAGGCUUAAUAUAUUGAUGUAUACAUUUUUGGAUAUUGUUUACAAGAAAUUUAACAUUCCUAUCUUUUAAGAUGACUGCCCA